CCCUAGAUCUGACCAAUCAGAGGAUCCUUUCCCAGUCCCGAGAAUGGGGAGAGGACUUUGGAAAGUGGACUAGGGAACCUGCACAGGCGGUCCUUUCGCAGGUGCCUCGCUUCCUAGAGGGCCCCAGCUUUUCCUUCUGCAAAAUGGGCCACCAACGCCUACAAAGAACCGUGCUGCCCAGGGCCGAUCCUCAAAAGCCUCAGGUUUUCAAAGGAGUUCUCUCUGCUGGCCGUUCCGCUUUGUCUAGAUAUCACAGACCCCCUCCCGGAGCAGGGUCAUUUUCCUACUAGUUGAGUGCAAGAUGAGACCCAGGGCCUGCGCGCCCCAGCCCGAAGGUACACAGUUCCCGCUCCUGCCUGCACCCAGGG